AGUUACAGCCAUGCCACCCUGAACAAGCCCGAUCCUAUCUGAUCUCGGAAGCUAAGCAGGGUUGGGCCUGGUUAGUACUUGGAUGGAAAACCACUUAGGAAGACCAGGUGCUGUAGGUG
rnacentral:rRNA from 1 species